GGUUAACAUUGGAGAAAUUCACACCCGCUGACUAACAGCUCUUUAAAUACCUCAUCGCAGACAAAUGUAAAGAAGAUACCACAGAAGUUCUUGAAAUGAAGCCUACCACAUGGAUGAUAAUACAGUACGGUCUGAAACACUUGCACUGUUCAUUUGCUGAAAUGCCGCAGCAUUCCUAUGCUACAGUUCCCCACAGGCUUAAAUCAUUUGCGUCGGUUCUGGCAAGUCAGCUGAGAAAAACUGCACUAUGGGAAACACAUGGUGCGACACAUCUGGAGACAGGUCACGGCGUCCACCUGCAUGUGCAGAAUCUCUGUCCAAGGGUGGGGCUGUUAUCGAAGUUGUAUGCACUGGGGCGUCCCUCGAGCGUGGAGAAGGCCACGUUUCCUCCGGUGAGGGGGGAGA